rnacentral:rRNA from 2 species
AAWAAUGGCGACGCGAAAGAGAAAUCGAGUAGGGCCCUGGGGAGAGUACACGCGCAAGCGAGAAAUUUAAAGGAAAUUGACGGAAGAACACCACAAGGAGUGGAGUGUGCGGCUUAAUUUGACUCAACGCGGGACAACUUACCGGGCCCGACGACCGUAAGAGUGUGACACACGAUAGGUCGAAGAGUGGUGCAUGGCCGUUAACGACGAGUGGAGUGAUCUUUGGGUUAAGUCCGUAAAUUAGUGAGACCUCAGCCGUAAGGGACAGGUGCGCAAAGCACAGGAAGGAUGGGUCAAGGACAGGUCAGUGAUGCCCUUAGAUGGUCCGGGCUGCACGCGCACUACAGUGGUCGCCGAAAUUAGCUGAUAAUUUUAAAGGCGAUCGAGAGGGAAUGAGCUUUGUAAGAGGCUCAGGAACGAGGAAUUGCUAGUAAUCGCGGACUCAUUAAGACGCGAUGAAUACGUCCCUGUUCUUUGUACACACCGCCCGUCGUUAUCGAAGAUGAAGACAGGCGCGAACGAUCUACCAGAAAGUGAGCGCAGGUCUUUAGAUCUGAUACAAGUCGUAACAAGGUAGCUGUAGGUGAACCUGUAGCUGG